GCAUAAUUUACUAAAUUCACAGAGGGAUUGGGAAUAUUCUCACUGUCAGCCAUUUUUGUGGAGCUCAUUCGUUUUUCUAGUGACUAGUUUGCAUUUGCAAUUUUCUGGAGAGUUCCUGACAAUUCAUAAUUCCACAUACUUCCCAAGUGUCCCUAUUUAGGAGGGACGGUCCCUAUUUUUGGCAUAAAUGCCGCUGUCCCUCUUUUCUAGGAGCUCCAUAUUGUUGGUGUGUCAUGAGCUGCGUAUAACAGAGCUCCACAGCAAUAAUAUCCGGAAGUAUUACUUUACUGAGAGGGUAGUGGAUGCAUGGAAUAGCCUUCCAGCUGAAGUGGUAGAGGUUAACACAGUGAAGGAGUUUAAGCAUGCGUGGGAUAGGCAUAAUGCUAUCCUAACUAUAAGAUAAGGCCAGGGACUAAUGAAAGUAUUUAGAAAAUUGGGCAGACUAGAUGGGCCGAAUGGUUCUUAUCUGCCAUCACAUUCUAAGUUUCUAUGUUUCUAUAACACUGUGUAUGGGUAAGAAUCAGGCACUAAUCAAACCGAACAGCUUUUUAAUAUACGAACGCUACACGAGUCAAGUCACAUCCAUUGAGAAAGCCGCUGAAGUGGAGACGAGCGUUUGGAAGUUACGGACUCUCACUACUGGCAUCCAGCCCCCACACGAAAUUGGGAAAAGUCUGUUGCA